AACAUAAACAAGGGGUGCCAUAUUGGCUGAGAUUAUACCCUUUAUUGGAUCAAGGUAAUGCUUGCGUCAAGAUGUUUAACUCCUUUUUU
rfam:Globicatella sp. HMSC072A10 Globicatella_spHMPREF2811-1.0_Cont231.1, whole genome shotgun sequence.